GCAUCCCCCGGGGAGGCAGCGCGACUAAAAACAACGCUGCCGCAUGCAAGUCAGGCAACUGGCAACACGAUCGAAUUGCGGGGACCUCCUAAAGCUUCACAUACCACCUACCCUUGAAAAGGGGCGGCACGGUCAUAAUGGUGGAGAUGCUACAAUGGACGAUCCGCAGCGAAGACCCUACAGCGCAAGCCACGGGUAACGUUCACAGACUAAGUGAUUGUGGGUAGCGUGCUACUUAAGAUAUAGUCGAGCCGUAACUGAAAGGUUAAGGAUGAAGGUCCGUAGGUGAACCUGCGGAAGGAUCAUUA
rnacentral:ncRNA from 1 species